GAUGAACGCUGGCGGCGUGCUUAACACAUGCAAGUCGAACGAAGCACCUUGGAACGCGUCUUCGGACAAGUGAAUUGGUGACUUAGUGGCGGACGGGUGAGUAACGCGUGGGUAACCUGCCUCACACAGGGGGAUAACAGUUAGAAAUGACUGCUAAAACCGCAUAACAUGGCGAGACCGCAUGACCUUGCCAUCAAAUAUUUAUAGGUGUGAGAUGGGCCCGCGUCUGAUUAGCUAGUUGGUAGGGUAAUGGCCUACCAAGGCGACGAUCAGUAGCCGGCUUGAGAGAGUGAACGGCCACAUUGGGACUGAGACACGGCCCAA
rnacentral:rRNA from 1 species